GAAAAGAAACUAACAAGGAUUCCCCUAGUAACGGCGAGUGAAGCGGGAAGAGCUCAAAUUUGAAAUCUGGUAGCCUUCGGUUGCCCGAGUUGUAAUCUAGAGAAGUGUUUUCCGCGUUGGCCCAUGUACAAGUCCCUUGGAACAGGGCGUCAUAGAGGGUGAGAAUCCCGUCCUUGACAUGGACCCCCAAUGCUUUGUGAUACACUUUCAACGAGUCGAGUUGUUUGGGAAUGCAGCUCAAAAUGGGUGGUGAAUUCCAUCUAAAGCUAAAUAUUGGCGAGAGACCGAUAGCGAACAAGUACCGUGAGGGAAAGAUGAAAAGCACUUUGGAAAGAGAGUUAAACAGUACGUGAAAUUGUUGAAAGGGAAACGAUUGAAGUCAGUCAUGCUCUUUGGAUUAAGCCGUUCUGCGGUGUAUUUCAUUGAGCGGGGUCAACAUCAGUUUUGAUCGCUGGAAAAGGGCAGGAGGAAGGUAGCACUCUCGGGUGAACUUAUAGCCUCUUGUCGUAUACAGUGAUUGGGACUGAGGAACGCAGCAUGCCUUUUGGCCGGGAUUCGUCCACGUACAUGCUUAGGAUGUUGACAUAAUGGCUUUAAACGA
rnacentral:rRNA from 1 species